GUAUCUUAAUCCAAAAAUUACCAGUGGUUAAAUUCAUCAUAAAUCCUAAUCCUCCUCCUUCUGUUGAUUUUGACUUAAGUGUCCACUGGACCGUAAGCCUGCAGUUGAAGAGCCCCCAGUGGAUGAAUGUGAUUGUCCCAUAGGUAGCCCAGGACCACCGGGUCCUCCAGGACUGAAGGGUGUACGUGGUGAGAAAGGAAACGAUGGACCCCCAGGGCCUGACGGUAAGCCUGGUGGCCCCGGUGAACGGGGUAAACCAGGUGAGCCUGGUAUGCUAGGGGAGAAGG
ensembl:lncRNA